rnacentral:rRNA from 1 species
AUCAGUAAGCGGAGGAAAAGAAAU